ACAUCCGAAAACCGAGAUAAACGUAGGAAAAGAUAAUACAUAAUUUCUAAAAUAUCGAAUAAUUACAAUAAAGAUACGGAUAAGACCCGUGUGCAAUUUUCCGCACCACCUUAGCUAUCGACAAACGCCAAUGUAGUAUUAUUACGGGUAUUUGACGUUUUUCGAAAAGCGUAUGAGGUUUUGCACGAGGCGCGUUUUUUUUAUAGUGGUGUCCCCGAGUAGGCCUAAUCCACUGUGUCGAUUAACCUAACCUUACCUUAAAUCCGUAAUAUUACCCUCUUUAAUGUAAUACGAUCACCGAAUCCGGAUCGCCGUUCCUUGAAGUCAUCCGCAGCUACCAGCAGUCUUGGCUCGUGGAGUUUACGUGCAAAUAAAUAAAGGAAAAAACAAGAUUUACGAAAAGAUAGAAAAAAAAAAACACAAAAAACACUACUAUUAUACCGAUGAAGAAAACUUAAUAAACUGAUGAAAAAGUUUAAAGGAAUGAUUCAUAUAAAACAAUUCAGAAAAAUAAAAAUUUUAAAACAAAUUUAAGAAAUAUAAUUUACUACGAUUCGACUAAAUACGCGUACAAUAAACAAAAUUAAUGUUAUUACCAACAUUAUUAGCCAGCGUGUGAUUUUGCGAUAUUUAUUAU